rnacentral:ribozyme from 1 species
GUCGGCGUCGGAGCCGGCGUCGGCGCUGGGACCGUCCUUCACCCCGAACCGCGAGCAUCGUGCCCUCGGCUAUGGAUACGGAUACGGAUGCGAACACGGGUAUU